rnacentral:tRNA from 1 species
UCCCUGAUAGCUCAGUUGGUAAAGAGUCUGCCUGCAAUGCAGGAGACCCUGGUUCGAUUUCUGGGUUGGGAAG